ACGACACACAAAUUUAAGAUUCAAGGACUCUGUGAAUUAACCCAGUGAACUGCAUGACAUGGCUGAUCAUGUGGUGUAAAGAUGUCGGCA